rnacentral:tRNA from 1 species
GGGGAAUUAGCUCAGAUGGGAGAGCGUCUGCUUUGCACGCAGAAGGUCAUCGGUUCGAUCCCGAUAUUCUCCACCA